rnacentral:tRNA from 1 species
CGGACUGUGGCGCAGUUUGGCAGCGCACCACACUGGGGGUGUGGGGGUCGCAGGUUCAAAUCCUGUCAGUCCGACCA